UGGGGAAUCUUCCGCAAUGGACGAAAGUCUGACCGAGCAACGCCGCGUGAGUGAAGAAGGUUUUCGGAUCGUAAAGCUCUGUUGUAAGAGAAGAACGGGUGUGAGAGUGGAAAGUUCACACUGUGACGGUAUCUUACCAGAAAGGGACGGCUAACUACGUGCCAGCAGCCGCGGUAAUACGUAGGUCCCGAGCGUUGUCCGGAUUUAUUGGGCGUAAAGCGAGCGCAGGCGGUUAGAUAAGUCUGAAGUUAAAGGCUGUGGCUUAACCAUAGUACGCUUUGGAAACUGUUUAACUUGAGUGCAGAAGGGGAGAGUGGAAUUCCAUGUGUAGCGGUGAAAUGCGUAGAUAUAUGGAGGAACACCGGUGGCGAAAGCGGCUCUCUGGUCUGUAACUGACGCUGAGGCUCGAAAGCGUGGGGAGCGAACAGGAUUAGAUACCCUGGUAGUCCACGCCGUAAACGAUGAGUGCUAGGUGUUAGACCCUUUCCGGGGUUUAGUGUCGCAGCUAACGCAUUAAGCACUCCGCCUGGGGGAGUACGACCGCAAGGUUG
rnacentral:rRNA from 1 species